GGACCGGUUAUAGGCAUCCAUAUACACUGGAUCGUGUGCGUCACUUAGUAGUUCACCUGAAAAAUAACCAAUGCAAUUUUUUUUAUUUUUAAUCAAAAUAAUAUUUAAACAGUUACUCUCAUCCACCAACAGGAGGAGUAAGUUUCCAUUCCCACGACAAGCGAUUUAACGUAACCAAAACGGACACCGAUUAUUAUCCGACCAAAGACCGCCAAAUCGACAGAUUGCUCAAAAUAUAGGGAAUGGUUUCUGCCGCUAUAACAGCAGUAUUAAGAUCCACUGUUUGUGGCAAAAUGUAAAUAAAGGUAAGGCGUUCGUAUAAAGUGUGAGUAAUUUAUGGUUUAUAGUAGGACAUCAGAAUUCAAUUACGAGUUCGGGAGUUCAUUAGCCGUUUCUAAUUGAAUUCGCUUAUUGAAUAAAAAGGUAAUCCAAAAAAAAAUUAUGUAUUCGUUUAAGAAAUGAUUAAAUGUGUUCCUUUUUUACCGCGGCUCUUCGCAUUAUGCAAGUUUUUUUAAUUGAAUUCAAAUGACGGAAGAGAAAUAUGUCCAUUUGUUGGUGCACUUUGGAGUAUUGUAUUAAAUGUACAAUAUUACAUAAAUUCACUAAACGAUUUAUAUUUUUUAAAAGCGAAACAAGAAAGGUUAAUGUUUCAACAUUCCUACAGUUUUAUAUAAACAAACGAAUACAUACAUAAGUAUGUAGAAUACGGCGACAUAGAAGACGAUGAUAUGCCAUUUUAUUUUCCAUUUCGGAUAUACAAAUGAUUUUUUGUUUAAUUACAAUUUCUAAAAGUUCAUAUUUUCUUUAAUUGUGUAAUUGUAAAAUGCUUACUGGCAACAUAAGUUUUUUCACCGAAUUUCUAUCUAACCGUUAUUACAGAUAUUUAAACAAUGCAAUACUUUUUUGUGUUUUUGACAGCUGUUAACUUGAUUUAUACUCAGCUUGGUUUGACAUUUCAUAGUGAACAGACAUAUUCCGUAUUAACGCAACAAUUGGAGCCGCCUAUAAUGUUGCAGUCCACGGGGAAAGCUAUAGAGCCAUUAUUAAUGACGUUUUCUUGCCUGAAUGGAGGAUGUUGAUGUGGAUGACCUUGAUUCCAACAAGAUGACGCUACAUGCCAUACAGCUAACAAAACAAUCAAUUUAUUGAAGAUAAACCCGAAACGAUUGACGCGUUAUUGCUGACGUACGACUCCAAUUGCCGCAAAAAGUGGUUAAAAAUUUUACCUCUCGGCUGAAAUUUAUACUUGCCAGCAGCAGCACAGUUAUCGCUUAGCCGAAAUCAUUUUUAAAACAUAAUUUCAAACCUAUAUCUUUAUAAUAAAGCUAUAUUCUUAGCAC